rnacentral:rRNA from 1 species
GACGAACGCUGGCGGCGUGCUUAACACAUGCAAGUGGAGCGACGAAGCGGGCUUCGGCCCGUGGCAGAGCCGCGAACGGGUGAGUAACACGUGGGUAACGUGCCCCAAUGACUGGGACAACCCGGGGAAACCCGGGCUAAUACCGGAUGUGCUCCUUCCACAUCAGUGGAUUGAGUAAAGGUAGCUUCGGCUUCCGCAUUGGGAUCGGCCCGCGGCGCAUUAGCUUGUUGGUGAGGUAACGGCUCACCAAGGCUUCGAUGCGUAGCUGGUCUGAGAGGACGAUCAGCCACACUGGGACUGAGGACACGGCCCAGACUCCGUACCGGGAGGCAGCAGUGGGGAAUCUUGCGCAAUGCGCGAAAGCGUGACGCAGCAACGCCGCGUGGGGGAAGAAGGCCU